UACGAACCGUGCGACCGUUGUUCGGAAUCACUGGGCUUAAAGGGCGCGUAGGCGGCUCGCGAGGUCGGGGGUGAAAUCCCGCAGCUUAACUGCGGAAGGGCCUCCGAUACCGGCGGGCUGGAGGAAGGUAGGGGUGCGCGGAACUUCUGGUGGAGCGGUGAAAUGCGUUGAUAUCAGAAGGAACGCCGGCGGCGAAAGCGGCGCACUGGACCUUUUCUGACGCUGAGGCGCGAAAGCUAGGGGAGCAAACGGG
rnacentral:rRNA from 1 species